UAUGCCGGGUUUGAUAUACUCGGGUUGAUAAUACUCUGUGUUGAUAACUCUGGGUUGAUAUACUCUGGGUUGAUAUGCUCUGGGUUGAUAUACUCUGGGUUAAUAUACUCCGGGUUGAUAUGCUCUGGGUUGAUAUGCUCGGGGUUGAUAUGCUCUGGGUUUGAUAUACUCUGGGUUAUAUACUCUGGGUUGAUAUGCUCUGGGUUGAUAUACUCUGGUUAAUAUACUCUGGGUUGAUAUACCUGGUUGAUAUACUCUGGGUUAAUAUACUCUGGGUUGAUAUACUCUGGGUUAAUAUACUCUGGGUUAAUAUACUCUGGGCUGAUAUACUCUGGGUUAAUAUACUCUGGGUUAAUAUAGCUGGGUUGUAUACUCUGGGUUUAAUAUACUCUGGGUUGAUAUAACUCUGGGUUGUAUACUCUGUGUUG
rnacentral:lncRNA from 1 species